CCCUUAGAUGUUCUGGGCUGCACGCGCGCUACACUGACGCACGCAACAGGUGCCUGCUCCGAGAGGACUGGGUAAUCAUUUGAGUGUGCGUCGUGAUGGGGAUAGAAUAUUGUAAUUAUUACUCUUCAACGAGGAAUUCCUAGUAAGCGCAAGUCAGCAGCUUGCGUUGAUUACGUCCCUGCCCUUUGUACACACCGCCCGUCGCUACUACCGAUUGAAUGGUUUAGUGAGAAUUUUGGACUGGAACUCCCUUGCUCAGCAAUGGGCGAGGGGGAGUCCGGGAAGCUAUUCUAACUGUAUCAUUUAGAGGAAGUAAAAGUCGUAACA
rnacentral:rRNA from 1 species